CAUGGGCACUUGGCAAACAUGCCACCACCCUCCAUGCUUUUCCUCUGCCAAAAACCUGUCACCAAUCCAUCUUCUUAGCUUCUUCAAGUCAAAAAUCAGAAUGUUUACUUCAAAUUUCUUCCUCCCAACCACUGAUUUAGUGUUCUUAAUCUCCCUAUAAACGGCCAUGAAAUCCAUCACCAAGAACACAACAAUUCAACAAUUCUUAUGCUCUCAUCUCUCACCUCACCACCACCUAUGAACUAACCAGAAUUUUCAUUCACAAUUCGCCGGAAAAUGUUACAAAAAGGAAUCCAAAAAGAAAACCCAUUUUCCUUCCCUCUCUAUCCUCUAUUUCGGGGUUCAAACACCACCACCAGCGGCUGCCACCGGCUUGCGGAUGCCAGGCCAGAUGCCUGCCACCUCGCGCGUCACCCGCCGGUGCACCUGCAACUCGCGUCUUCUCCCUCUUCAUCGUACUCUCCUCCUUUCUCGCUCCUCUUCGUCACGUCACGCCCAGCUGUACGCACCAGCCAAGUCGCCACGCGUCGUCCCGCCACCGCGUCGCGCUGCUCGUCGCCGAUGUUCGCCUGAGCAGUCCUCCCGCCGCAGCAUUGUCGUCCCUGCUCCUAGUAGCAGAGGUAUGGAAGAACAGUUGUGGAUCACUAUUAUACUGCAUUAUGGAGAUUAUGUACGAUUCUAUGAGGUUUUAGGAUAUUUUGUAUGAUGGAUAAACAAGUAUUAUUUUAUGACGAGUAAUUGUAUA